rnacentral:rRNA from 1 species
CCCUUAGAUGUUCUGGGCCGCACGCGUGCUACACUGAUUCGUUCAACGAGCUUUUUUACCUUGGCCGACAGGUCUGGGCAAUCUUCUCAAAGCGAAUCGUGAUUGGGAUAGAUGAUUGGAAUUAUUCAUCUUUAACGAGGAAUGCCUAGUAAACGCAAGUCAUUAGCUUGCAUUGAUUACGUCCCUGCCCUUUGUACACACCGCCCGUCGCUCCUACCGAUUGAAUGAACCGGUGAAAACUUAGGAUUGGCGCAUUGGAACGGUUUCCGUUCUGAUGCUGCUGAGAAUCAGUUUGAACCUUUUCAUUUAGAGGAAGGAGAAGUCGUAACA